rnacentral:rRNA from 1 species
CUGGCUCAGGAUGAACGCUAGCUACAGGCUUAACACAUGCAAGUCGAGGGCAGCAUGGAGUUGCUGCAAACUCUGAUGGCGACCGGCGCACGGGUGAGUAACGCGUAUCCAACCUCCCUAUAGUAGAGGAUAGCCCGGCGAAAGUCGGAUUAAUACUCUAUGUUUUCCGUUGCAGACAUCUAAGAUGGAACAAAGGCUUGCCGCUAUAGGAUGGGGAUGCGUCUGAUUAGGUAGUCGGCGGGGUAACGGCCCACCGAGCCAUCGAUCAGUAGGGGUUCUGAGAGGAAGGUCCCCCACAUUGGAACUGAGACACGGUCCAAACUCCUACGGGAGGCAGCAGUGAGGAAUAUUGGUCAAUGGGCGAGAGCCUGAACCAGCCAAGUAGCGUGCAGGAUGACGGCCCUAUGGGUUGUAAACUGCUUUUAUGCGGGGAUAAAGUUCACUACGUGUAGUGUUUUGUAGGUACCGCAUGAAUAAGGACCGGCUAAUUCCGUGCCAGCAGCAGC